UACGUAGGGGGCGAGCGUUGUCCGGAAUCACUGGGCGUAAAGCGCGCGUAGGCGGACUUUUAAGUCAGAUGUGAAAACUUUGGGCUCAACCUGGAGAUUGCAUCUGAAACUGGGAGUCUUGAGUGUAGAAGAGGAGAGUGGAAUUCCUAGUGUAGCGGUGAAAUGCGUAGAUAUUAGGAGGAACACCAGUGGCGAAGGCGACUCUCUGGUCUAUAACUGACGCUGAGGUGCGAAAGCGUGGGGAGCAAACAGGAUUAGAUACC
rnacentral:rRNA from 1 species